rnacentral:rRNA from 1 species
AUGGCCGAAGCAAUUGUAGGUUUACUGAUCGUCAAGCUGGGUGCGGCCUUGGCGAACGAGGCAGCAACCUUCGACACAUCGCUGCUUUGCAGUGAAGCCUCGGCCCUCAAGGGUCUGCUCGGUCAGAUCAGUGAAGCCAAGUAUGAGCUUGAAAGUAUGCAGGCAUAUCUGAAAGGUGUAGAGCGGUUCAAGGACGCCGAUGAUAGAACUGGCCUCUUUGUCGAGAGGAUCAGGGGCUUCGCUUUCGAGAUCGAAGAUGUGGUCGACGAGUUCACCUAUAAGUUGGAGGAGAAGCAUGGAGGGUUUGUUGCCAAGAUGAAGAAGAGGAUCAAGCAUGUCAAGACCUGGCGCCGACUUGCGCACACGUUUAAAGAUAUCAAUGGCAGACUUCAAGGUGCUAUACAAAGGAAGGAGCACUACGCCAUGCCAGAAAUUGGCAGAAAUGAUGGCCACAGGGCUCAUCGAGUUUUCAAUUUCUCAAGGGACGAGGACCAUGUAGGGAUCUUUGAGCACAAGCAGCAAUUGAUGCAAUGGCUGACAGGUGACAUGCAAGACAAAAGAAUCAAGAUUUCCACUGUGUGAGGCAUGGCAGGUGUGGGGAAAACAACUUUGGUUGCUCAUGUGUACAAAACUGUAAAAGUAACCUUCGAUGCUGCUGCAUGGGUAACUGUGUCGGAGAUUUGUCAUGUUGAAGACUUGCUGAAGAGGAUUGCUAGAGAAUUUGGCAUGCCAAUUGAUGCACCUAAAAUGGAGAUUAGAAUCCUGGCUGAGACCAUCUACGAGUACCUCCAAGGUAAAAGAUACAUCUUAGUUCUAGAUGAUGUUUGGACUACUAAUGUUUCGUUGGAGAUAUGGACUGUCUUUCCAUCUAGUGGACAAUUUGUUAUCACAUCAAGAAAGCAUGAAGUAUCAUUAUUGGCAACUAAUAUGUCUUCAGUUCAUUUGGAACCACUUGACAAAUCGAACUCUUGGGAGUUAUUCUACAAAUCAGCCUUUUGGAAUGAUCCUGAUAGAAAGUGUCCACUCGAGUUAUAGAACUUAGCUUGGAAAUUUGUGAAGAAGUGUGAAGGUUUGCCUAUUGCUAUUGUAUGCAUAGGCAGCCUACUAUCCGGAAAAAGUCAAACAUCUGUAGAAUGGAAAAAUAUAUAUGAUGAGUUAGAGCUCUAGUUGGUAAAAAAUGUGAUGCCUCGCAUUGAGCCAAUUCUAAUGGUCAGUUUGGAGGACCUUACAUAUGAUUUGAAGAAUUGUUUCUUACAUUGUGCAUUGUCCCCCAUCAAGAGGAGGACAAUAAUGAGGCAUUGGAUUACUGCUGGAUUCAUCAAUGAAAAGGAGAACAAAACAUUGGAGGAAGUGGCAGAGGGGUACUUUACUGAACUUGUGAGCCGAAGCCUACUACAGGUGGUCAAGAGGAAUCAUACUGGGCGGUUAAAAUGUUGCCAGGUGCAUGAUAUCAUACGACUUGUUGCCCUCAAUAAAGCUGGUGAAGAUUGUUUUGGUAAAGUUUAUGAUGGCUCUGGUGCAUUCUCUAUUGAGCACACACGUCGAAUAUCAAUCCAGAGUGGAAACCUUCAACGACUGAUUGAAUCUGAUGCUACACAUGUCCGUGCAAUCCAUGUUUUUAACAGAUAUAUCAAUAUUGAUUUGCUGAGGCCUAUCCUAGAAUCUUCGAACCUGCUCUUAACACUGGAUCUGCAAGGUACCCGUAUCAAGAUGCUGCCGACUGAGGUAUUCAACUUGUUCAAUCUACGGUAUUUGGGCCUUAGAUAUACUAAUAAUGAAAGUCUACCUGAAGACAUAGGAAAGUUGCAAAACUUAGAAGUCCUGGAUGCUAUGAACAGUGCACUGUCGUAG